rnacentral:rRNA from 1 species
AGUGAACGCUGGCGGUAGGCCUAACACAUGCAAGUCGAACGGCAGCACAGUAAGAGCUUGCUCUUACGAGUGGCGAGUGGCGGACGGGUGAGGAAUACAUCGGAAUCUACUUUUUCGUGGGGGAUAACGUAGGGAAACUUACGCUAAUACCGCAUACGACCUACGGGUGAAAGCAGGGGAUCUUCGGACCUUGCGCGAUUGACUGAGCCGAUGUCGGUUUAGCUAGUUGGCGGGGUAAAGGCCCACCAAGGCGACGAUCCAUAGCUGGUCUGAGAGGAUGAUCAGCCACACUGGAACUGAGACACGGUCCAGACUCCUACGGGAGGCAGCAGUGGGGAAUAUUGGACAAUGGGCGCAAGCCUGAUCCAGCCAUACCGCGUGGGUGAAGAAGGCCUUCGGGUUGUAAAGCCCUUUUGUUGGGAAAGAAAAGCAGCAGGUUAAUACCCCGCUGUUCUGACGGUACCCAAAGAAUAAGCACCGGCUAACUUCGUG